rnacentral:rRNA from 1 species
UACGAAGGGGGCUAGCGUUGCUCGGAAUCACUGGGCGUAAAGGGUGCGUAGGCGGGUCUUUAAGUCAGGGGUGAAAUCCUGGAGCUCAACUCCAGAACUGCCUUUGAUACUGAAGAUCUUGAGUUCGGGAGAGGUGAGUGGAACUGCGAGUGUAGAGGUGAAAUUCGUAGAUAUUCGCAAGAACACCAGUGGCGAAGGCGGCUCACUGGCCCGAUACGUGACGCUGAGGACGAAA